UGGCGUAGCGCGCAAAGCCUCGGCUUGCCACGCCGAAGGUCCCGGGUUCGAUUCCCGG
rnacentral:tRNA from 1 species